rnacentral:misc_RNA from 2 species
AAUUUCUACUAAGUGUAGAUC